rnacentral:rRNA from 1 species
UCCUGGCUCAGGAUGAACGCUGGCGGCGUGCCUAAUACAUGCAAGUCGAACGGGGGCAGUAGCGAUACUGUCCUAGUGGCGAACGGGUGAGUAACGCGUUGGUGACCUGCCCCAGAGAGGGGGAUAACAGACCGAAAGGUCUGCUAAUACCGCAUAAGUUCUCAGCAGUUAGAGGGGUUGAGAAGAAAGCCGAAAGGCGCUCUGGGAGGGGCCUGCGUCCCAUCAGCUAGUUGGUAGGGUAACGGCCUACCAAGGCGAAGACGGGUAGGGGACCUGAGAGGGUGGCCCCCCACAAUGGAACUGAAACACGGUCCAUACACCUACGGGUGGCAGCAGUAGGGGAUAUUGGUAAAUGGGCGAAAGCCUGACCCAGCAACGCCGCGUGCGCGAAGAAGGCCUUCGGGUUGUAAAGCGCUUUUCUGAGGGAUGAGGAAGGACAGUACCUGAGGAAUAAGUCUCGGCUAACUACGUGCCAGCAGCCGCGGUAAGACGUAGGAGACGAGCGUUAUCCGGAUUUACUGGGCGUAAAGCGCGUGCAGGCGGCUCGUUAAGUUGGAUGUGAAAGCCCCUGGCUAAACUAGGGGAGGUCGUUCAAGACUGGCGGGCUAGAGUGCAGCAGAGGAGAGUGGAAUUCCGAGUGUAGCGGUAAAAUGCACAGAUAUUCGGAAGAACACCAGAGGCGAAGGCGGCUCUCUGGGCUGCAACUGACGCUCAGACGCGAAAGCUAGGGGAGCGAACGGGAUUAGAGACCCCGGUAGUCCUAGCCGUAAACGAUGUGGACUUGGCGUGGGUAGGGUAAAGCCUGUCCGUGCCGAAGCAAACGCGAUAAGUCCACCGCCUGGGGACUACGGCCGCAAGG